CUGGAGGUAUCAGAAGUGCGAAUGCUGACAUAAGUAACGAUAAAGCGGGUGAAAAGCCCGCUCGCCGGAAGACCAAGGGUUCCUGUCCAACGUUAAUCGGGGCAGGGUGAGUCGACCCCUAAGGCGAGGCCGAAAGGCGUAGUCGAUGGGAAACAGGUUAAUAUUCCUGUACUUGGUGUUACUGCGAAGGGGGGACGGAGAAGGCUAUGUUGGCCGGGCGACGGUUGUCCCGGUUUAAGCGUGUAGGCUGGUUUUCCAGGCAAAUCCGGAAAAUCAAGGCUGAGGCGUGAUGACGAGGCACUACGGUGCUGAAGCAACAAAUGCCCUGCUUCCAGGAAAAGCCUCUAAGCAUCAGGUAACAUCAAAUCGUACCCCAAACCGACACAGGUGGUCAGGUAGAGAAUACCAAGGCGCUUGAGAGAACUCGGGUGAAGGAACUAGGCAAAAUGGUGCCGUAACUUCGGGAGAAGGCACGCUGAUAUGUAGGUGAAGUCCCUCGCGGAUGGAGCUGAAAUCAGUCGAAGAUACCAGCUGGCUGCAACUGUUUAUUAAAAACACAGCACUGUGCAAACACGAAAGUGGACGUAUACGGUGUGACGCCUGCCCGGUGCCGGAAGGUUAAUUGAUGGGGUUAGCCGCAAGGCGAAGCUCUUGAUCGAAGCCCCGGUAAACGGCGGCCGUAACUAUAACGGUCCUAAGGUAGCGAAAUUCCUUGUCGGGUAAGUUCCGACCUGCACGAAUGGCGUAAUGAUGGCCAGGCUGUCUCCACCCGAGACUCAGUGAAAUUGAACUCGCUGUGAAGAUGCAGUGUACCCGCGGCAAGACGGAAAGACCCCGUGAACCUUUACUAUAGCUUGACACUGAACAUUGAGCCUUGAUGUGUAGGAUAGGUGGGAGGCUUUGAAGUGUGGACGCCAGUCUGCAUGGAGCCGACCUUGAAAUACCACCCUUUAAUGUUUGAUGUUCUAACGUUGACCCGUAAUCCGGGUUGCGGACAGUGUCUGGUGGGUAGUUUGACUGGGGCGGUCUCCUCCUAAAGAGUAACGGAGGAGCACGAAGGUUGGCUAAUCCUGGUCGGACAUCAGGAGGUUAGUGCAAUGGCAUAAGCCAGCUUGACUGCGAGCGUGACGGCGCGAGCAGGUGCGAAAGCAGGUCAUAGUGAUCCGGUGGUUCUGAAUGGAAGGGCCAUCGCUCAACGGAUAAAAGGUACUCCGGGGAUAACAGGCUGAUACCGCCCAAGAGUUCAUAUCGACGGCGGUGUUUGGCACCUCGAUGUCGGCUCAUCACAUCCUGGGGCUGAAGUAGGUCCCAAGGGUAUGGCUGUUCGCCAUUUAAAGUGGUACGCGAGCUGGGUUUAGAACGUCGUGAGACAGUUCGGUCCCUAUCUGCCGUGGGCGCUGGAGAACUGAGGGGGGCUGCUCCUAGUACGAGAGGACCGGAGUGGACGCAUCACUGGUGUUCGGGUUGUCAUGCCAAUGGCACUGCCCGGUAGCUAAAUGCGGAAGAGAUAAGUGCUGAAAGCAUCUAAGCACGAAACUUGCCCCGAGAUGAGUUCUCCCUGACUCCUUGAGAGUCCUGAAGGAACGUUGAAGACGACGACGUUGAUAGGCCGGGUGUGUAAGCGCAGCGAUGCGUUGAGCUAACCGGUACUAAUGAACCGUGAGGCUUAACCUUACAACGCCGAAGGUGUUU
rnacentral:rRNA from 1 species